GUCCGCCCGGGGAAGGGUAUUCUGUGUUCCUGACUUGCAUUUUGGUUUAUUCCGGGCGCGAGGGCAGCCGUUGAUUGUGAAUGUUUUAGUAAUCCUAAAAUAGAACCGAGUAGUUCUGGGAGAGGGGCUAUAAGGAGUUAGUGUUGAAUGAGUGCAGAGUUUCUUUUGGGGAAGAUGAACAAAUUCUGGAGAUGGAUGGUGGACACGGUGCGCAACAAUGUGAACGGGUUAAUGCCUCUGUGCUGCACGCUGAAAAACGGCUAACCUGAAGUUAGCCAGCAGGUCCUGAGGACACUCAAGCUGUCUAUGGAGGGGCCCCCGUGUGGAGGAACUGAGCUCCCAGUCAGCAUCAGCACCAGGUUGCCGGACAUGUGAAAUGGAAAUGGAUCCUCCAGCCCCAGUCAAGCCUUCAGAUGGAUGCAGCCUCAGCCCCUGUCUUGAGAGAGGCCUCAGGAGAAGCUAAACCUGCCCACACCUUGAUCUCAAACUUCCAGCCUCCAGAACUGUGAGAAGUAAAUUUCCGAUGGUUAAGCUGCCCGGUCUGUAGUAUUUUGUUAUGGCGGCUCAAGCUGAUUAAUGCAAUAGGUAAAUACAUAAAAUCCAUAGAAAAAAGCCUAGGAGGAUACACUUUAAACUGAAAAGAGUGUUUGGUGAAGGUGAGUAGCACUGAUGGUGAGGCCGGCCCCGUGGCUGAGUGGUUGGGUUUGCACGCUCCGCUUCAGCGGCCCAUGGUUUCUCUGUGUUGAAUCCUGGGCGUGGACAUGGCACCUGUGGCAGCGUCCCGCAUGCCACAACUGGAGGGACCCACAACUGAGAGUACAUAGCUGUGUGCCAGGGGGGCUUUGGAGAGGAAAAGGAAAAAUAAAAUCUUAAAAAAAAAAAAGUGGUACUGAUGGUGUUGGCCAAAGAAAAAUGUUAAUUAUAGAUUCUAGGUGGUAGGUUUGUAACUGUUCAGUGUAAAAUUCUCUCAACUUUUCUGUAUGUUUGAAAAUUUUUGUAAUAAACUAUUGAGAGGGUUCGAAAGGACUCUGGAACCAGCUUCAAGAGCCCCCCAACCACUGGAACCGUGAGCCUCAAAAAGAAGAAAAAACUGCAUAUGGUUGACAUAAAGUAUGUUUAAAUCCAUUUGUUCAUAAUCCUACUAAAAAAGAAACCUUGUUGAUCACAGGUGAUUGUUGCUGGGAAAUUAUGUCAUUAUUCUAAAGACAAAAGACUCUAGCAACAAAUAAGUAAUCUUGCCUUUCUUUUCUUUUUUCUUUUUGAG
rnacentral:lncRNA from 1 species